UCAUCCUCACGAAAUAAUUUUUAUAGCACCAUUUUUCUACUGCAAAAACUGCUUCUCUUGACCCCACGUGGAGUUCACGUGUGACAACGCUGCACUUCACAUAGUAACCAAGUUCAUUGAAUUUACAUUUUUAUCCUAAAGUACCUGAUAUGAUACAUAGUACCAGAUACACAAAUUACUGUGCACAGUUAUUAUUAUGAAACUCGUACACAAAUUGGAUACAAAAUGUUAAUAAAUUAAUAAAAAAUAUGGAGAAUCGUUGUGUGUGGUUUCAAUCCACGAAUAAAAUUAGGCAGCAUCCCACUCACGGAAUUGCUUCGCACGCACAAUCACAUUGUCAAAUGUUUAUUUCAUCUGCUUUUAUUUAAACAAACUUUUAUUUCUCCAGGCUAUCAAAAAUUUCCAGAGGUUGAUGGAACAACAACGAGGCAAAAACUUUCUUCCGUUUGCUCUGAAUAAAUUGAGGUCGUUCUCGUUGUUGAUUCUAAUGUUUUAUAGAUUCGGUGGGCAGUUUAAUAAUGAUCAAGCUGAUGCAGACAUUGACAGAUGAUUCAAAAUAAAAAUUCAUGUUUAGUUUGGAGGCGGAUGAAGGUGAAUUAAUUUUGGAGGUUACAUAAGCAGUACGCGACUUUGAGGGAGUUCAGAGAUGAAGGUGACUUUGAAGGAGCCUUGGGACAAAUUCAGUGUAAAAUGUGGUUAAUAACACACGAUAAGAAUAUAUGUAUUUGAGCACCGCACAGAAAUGAUGAAACUUGCAUGUUACGUAUUCCAACGACACUGGACCUUAGCGGACUGGACGAGGAAGACGUUCAACUUUUCAACCAGAUUGCGUUCCAUCAUCACAUUUAGGGAAGUAUAUUAGUGCAUAAGUAUCCUUAGUGAAUGGUGAGUGAAGGCUUAUGGAUCGGGUGGACGACGACUUAGCAGUUAUAAAAAAAACUGACAAAGUGGUACAGAUGUAACAUCCCUGUGGAGACAAUCUUAUGCUCCAGACUCAUUUUUACCAACGUCAGACGGUAUUUUAUAUAAAAAAUGCAUAUAUGUACACCUCGACAAUCCACAUGCACAAAUAUAUCCACGUUUUAAUUGCUUAAUGAAUUAAAAAAAUUAGUUUUACCAAAUUAUGUCUACAAAA